UACGAAGGGAGCUAGCGUUGUUCGGAAUCACUGGGCGUAAAGCGCACGUAGGCGGAUGUGUCAGUCAGGGGUGAAAUCCCGGAGCUCAACUUCGGAACUGCCUUUGAUACAGCACGUCUUGAGUCCGAUAGAGGUGGGUGGAAUUCCUAGUGUAGAGGUGAAAAUUCGUAGAUAUUAGGAAGAACACCGGUGGCGAAGGCGGCCCACUGGAUCGGUACUGACGCUGAGGUGCGAAAGCGUGGGGAGGCGAA
rnacentral:rRNA from 1 species